GGUACAGUACAGUAGGAUGGUUCAUUAUUAUAAACAGACCUGAUUGGCUGGGAGGAUGUAGACUGGAAGGUACAGUACAGUAGGAUGGUUCAUUAUUAUAAACAGACCUGAUUGGCUGGGAGGAUGUAGACUGGAAGGUACAGUACAGUAGGAUGGUUCAUUAUUAUAAACAGACCUGAUUGGCUGGGAGGAUGUAGACUGGAAGGUACAGUACAGUAGGAUGGUCCAUUAUUAUCAACAGACCUGAUUGGCUGGGAGGAUGUAGACUGGACGGUACAGUACAGUAGGAUGGUCCAUUAUUAUAAACAGACCUGAUUGGCUGGG